rnacentral:rRNA from 1 species
AGAGUUUGAUUCUGGCUCAGGACGAACGCUGGCGGCGCGCCUAACACAUGCAAGUCGAACGAGCAAAGAGGAGCUUGCUUCUCUGAGCGAGUGGCGAACGGGUGAGUAACGCGUGAGGAACCUGCCUCAAAGAGGGGGACAACAGUUGGAAACGACUGCUAAUACCGCAUAAGCCCACGGGUCGGCAUCGACCAGAGGGAAAAGGAGCAAUCCGCUUUGAGAUGGCCUCGCGUCCGAUUAGCUAGUUGGUGAGGUAACGGCCCACCAAGGCGACGAUCGGUAGCCGGACUGAGAGGUUGAACGGCCACAUUGGGACUGAGACACGGCCCAG